UACGGAGGGUGCGAGCGUUAAUCGGAAUUACUGGGCGUAAAGCGCGCGUAGGCGGUUUGUUAAGCGAGUUGUGAAAGGCCUGGGCUCAACCUGGGAAUGGCAAUUCGAACUGGCAAGCUGGAGUGUGGUAGAGGGUAGUGGAAUUUCCGGUGUAGCGGUGAAAUGCGUAGAUAUCGGAAGGAACACCAGUGGCGAAGGCGGCUACCUGGACUGACACUGACGCUGAGGUGCGAAAGCGUGGGGAGCAAACAGG
rnacentral:rRNA from 1 species